rnacentral:rRNA from 2 species
AAUUUUUUUCUUAAUCCCAAUCUCUCUACAGAACCCGAUCUUGAUAUUGAGUCAUUCUAUAUCUCUAUAGAAGAGUUUAUGUUAGAACUAGUAACACAGAAUACUCUCUCUCUCUCUAUGUAAGUGUAAAUCAGAUUGAAUAACUCACUGAUACUUAAUCAGUUUUGAAAAUAAUGCAGUAACAUCACCAGAAAACCCUGCAACUUAACUCCCUGUUAAACUAACACCAGAACAUAUAGAAAAGAUUUAAAGACAAGGAAGGAACUCGGCAAAUAAAAGUCCCGCCUGUUUACCAAAAACAUCGCCUCUUGAACCCAAUAAGAGGUAAUGCCUGCCCAGUGACCAUGUGUUCAACGGCCGCAGUAUUCUGACCGCGCGAAGGUAGCGUAAUCACUUGUCUUUUAAAUAAAGACUAGUAUGAAUGGCCACACGAGGACUUAACUGUCUCCCCUGUCUAAUCAGUGAAACUGAUCUCCUCGUGCAAAAGCGAGAAUAUUAACAUAAGACGAGAAGACCCUAUGAAGCUUUAAACUAAAUAUCAAAUUCUUUAACUCUACUUCUAAGGAAUUAAUACCUAAUUAAUCUUACUUGAUAUCAGUUUUAGGUUGGGGUGACCAUGGAGAAAAAAAAAUCCUCCCUGAUGACUUUCUAACCAAGAGCCACAACUCUAAGUACUAAGACACUUAACUCUAAUUGACCCACUUUGUGAUCAACGAACCAAGUUACUCUAGGGAUAACAGCGCAAUCCAUUUCAAGAGUUCCUAUCGACAAAUGGGUUUACGACCUCGAUGUUGGAUCAGGGCAUCCAAGUGGUGCAACCGCUACUAAAGGUUCGUU